rnacentral:rRNA from 1 species
CCCUUAGACGUUCUGGGCCGCACGCGCGCUACACUGACCAGUGCAACAAGCAUCCGUCCUUGGCCGACAGGCCCGGGCAAUCUUUGAACGCUGGUCGUGAUGGGGAUAGACUUUUGCAAUUUUUGGUCUUCAACGAGGAAUUCCUAGUAAACGCAAGUCAUCAACUUGCAUUGAUUACGUCCCUGCCCUUUGUACACACCGCCCGUCGCACCUACCGAUUGAAUGGUCCGGUGAAGCCUCCGGAUUGGCGCGCACCUCGGUGCCGCCGAGAAGUUGGCUAAACCUUACCAUUUAGAGGAAGGAGAANUCGUAACA